rnacentral:rRNA from 1 species
AGAGUUUGAUCCUGGCUCAGGAUGAACGCUGGCGGCGUGCUUAACACAUGCAAGUCGAACGGACUUUUAUUGAAGCCUAGCGAUAUAAAAGUUAGUGGCGGACGGGUGAGUAACGCGUGGGUAACCUGCCGUAUGCUGGGGGACAACAGUUAGAAAUGACUGCUAAUACCGCAUAAGCGCACAGAAUCGCAUGAUUCAGUGUGAAAAACUGAGGUGGCAUACGAUGGACCCGCGUCUGAUUAGCUAGUUGGUGAGGUAACGGCUCACCAAGGCGACGAUCAGUAGCCGGCCUGAGAGGGUGAACGGCCACAUUGGGACUGAGACACGGCCCAAACUCCUACGGGAGGCAGCAGUGGGGAAUAUUGCACAAUGGGGGAAACCCUGAUGCAGCGACGCCGCGUGAGUGAAGAAGUAUUUCGGUAUGUAAAGCUCUAUCAGCAGGGAAGAAAAUGACGGUACCUGACUAAGAAGCCCCGGCUAACUACGUGCCAGCAGCCGCGGUAAUACGUAGGGGGCAAGCGUUAUCCGGAUUUACUGGGUGUAAAGGGAGCGUAGACGGCAAGGCAAGUCUGAUGUGAAAUACCGGGGCUCAACCCCGGGACUGCAUUGGAAACUGUUUAGCUAGAGUGCAGGAGAGGUAAGUGGAAUUCCUAGUGUAGCGGUGAAAUGCGUAGAUAUUAGGAGGAACACCAGUGGCGAAGGCGGCUUACUGGACUGUAACUGACGUUGAGGCUCGAAAGCGUGGGGAGCAAACAGGAUUAGAUACCCUGGUAGUCCACGCCGUAAACGAUGAUUACUAGUGGUUGG